GCACCAGCUCGCGCAUCCCCGGCGCACUGCGCGUGCCCUGUCCUGCCCAACGGCUCGGCGCCAGGUGGGCAAGGUGGAGCCUCGGCGGGAAGCCAUAAUAGCCAGGUCUCCUCUACAUCUUUCCCACGAUCACCACUCCGUACACUGGGCCAAUUAACCUAUAAACCCACACAUCUUUGGAAUGUGGGAGGAAACAGGAACACCCAAAGGAAACCUAAACUACAGGGAGAAUGUGCAAACUCUACACAGACAGCAUCUGAGUUCAUGAUCGAACCUGGAUCUCUGUAGCUAUGAAGCAGUGGCUCUACUAGCUGUGCCGCACAGAAUUGUUUCAUUUAAUUUGUCCAGAAUAUAGACUACAUUUUCAUUGAAUUAAUUUUUGUAUUUUUUUUAAUUGCGCUGUAUGAACCAACGUAAAUUCUAUUGAUGCCGAUUGUUUUAAAUUAAAAUUCAAAACACCAUAUAAUAUAAAAGUUUAUUGAAUAUUCUUAAAUUCUAGCAUUUUAAGAUAUGUUACAUUUUCUUCCAUAAAUCGUUAAAAUAUAUAAUAAAUGAUAAAACAAUCUGAAAUGCAUUUUAGCAAUUUUGUAAUUCCAUACCCCAGCAAUGUGUACUAAUUUCUAUAAAAAUCAUGUUAACAUUUUUAAAGAUUAUACGAAUGUAAAAAUUUUUGGAAUUGCAACUAUCCAAAGGCUGAUUUAUCUAUUGCUCUGUUAAGAGGUCUCCGCAAUCUCCAGAACAGUUUAUUUAAAAAGGUGAAAAAUACCUGUCUUGAUCACCAGUGGGUCAUCCUUAUACUGAAUAAGAACAGAUGCUUUACAAAUAUAAUGACCAAGCGACAAGCUGUUGGUCAGUAUAAUAAACAAAAAGUUAGAUUAUGCAAAGAAAACUUCAGUGACUGUAAUGAGCACCAAGAUGAUUGAUUUGGCAAAGUAGCUGUUGACUGAUGGAAAUUAAAGGGAGAUCUUGCAUUUUUUAUUUUGUCAUGAAUUUGUGCUACAAAAUAAAAGCUGGGUUUACACUUGCACUGACCAGUCCAAAAAUAUGUAACAGUGUUCUGCUAUAAUCCUUCAUUGGACAUCCCAAAUUUCACAGAGCAAGGGUGUAAGUUUCUGAUCCUUCAUCUUCCAGGACAUUAAUACCUCUGAAUGAUUGUGGUUAAGAGUUCUAAGCUGAGUAAGUCGACCCAAAAGCCGAGCAAAGCGCUGUGGACUCUCAGGAUGAUGGAUCUUGGAGUACUUGUGUAAAAUCUCCAAAAGAGGCUCCUGUAAUUUUUCUACAUGUGUUUUAUUCUUUAAAUAGGGUCGAUCUGCAGGGGAAAAAAAGAGCCUUAAGUUGUGUACAAUGAUCAUUGGCAUAAUGUUACCGCAACAGUAUAAGCACAGUCGGUAAAUAUUUGUCUUUUAGACAAGGCGUUAAACUUUAAAUCUGGGAGCAAGCUUUGUAAUGUCCCAAAAAAACACCCAUCUGUUUUAUGGAAACUAGUUCGGGAAAACCCCACUAUUGAGAAUGACUGAAUUUUCUUUCGAAUGUUGUCAUAUGUACCGAAAGGGAACAGUGAAAUUCCAUACAUAACGGCCGGAUGGAAAUGUAAAAUAAUCUAAACACAGGUUUCCUGUAAUUUGCUAAUAAAAUUGUUCAAGUGAA